UGCCACCUGCCAUCUGUCGCUCACCUAUUUUGAAGUGUUUUUGUAUUUCAUCAUAGGACAGGAGUAUCUCAGAGUUGAGCUAAAGUCAGUGAUAUUGAAUAAACCCCGGGCCAGAGGCUCGUGUCUUCCCUUAUCAGCAAACAUCGGACUGCCGUGCAUCCCUCCAGCUUCAUUUGUUGUAGGCAGUGAAGCAAACACACACUCCGGUCUGGAACCCGAUAAGAGGAACGAGUGAGGAAACCUCUUUCUCCACUUCACUCUUUCUGGAGACCCCGAGCUUCGUUCACAGUGUUAUAUGAACCUUGUGAUAUAGGCUUCAGCGUCCUUUAUGUGCGGUUCUCGCGGGACGGCCCCAGAACAGAGGGGCAUUGUGGGACAGGAGGCAGUCAGGGCAGACGAUUUACAUGUUGGCCGGUGGAUGAGGAAUGUUGGCGAGAGCCACGAAAACCAGUUUUGCACAUCGACCCACAAACAAUGACAUUGGAUUAAAAAUGGCAUUUGCAGAAUCCGAGAUCAUCAUGUGUUUCCUGAGAAUGACCUGAAGAUCAUCUGCAUUGUCUCAAGACUUUUAUCUACAUGGAGGUUCAGCACUUUGCCGAAAGACCUUUGUCUCCUCAGUGAAGAUUACAGCUGAU